AUGAACGCUGGCGGCGCGCCUAAACACAUGCAAAAGUCGAAAACGGGUUAAAAGCAUCUUCGGAUGUGUAUAAAAGUGGCGAACGGCUGAGUACACGUGGGCAACCUGCCCUUUGCACUGGGAUAGCCUCGGGAAACCGAGGUUAAUACCGGAUACUCCAUAUUUGUCGCAUGGGCGAAUAUGGGAAAAGCUCCGGCGGCAAAGGAUGGGGCCCCGCGGCCUGUUAGCUAGUUGGUGGGGUAGUGGCCUACCCAAGGCAAUGAUGGGUAGCCGGGUUGAGAGACCGACCGGCCAGAUUGGGACUGAGACACGGCCCAGACUCCUACGGGAGGCAGCAGUGGGGAAUCUUGCACAAUGGGCGAAAGCCUGAUGCAGCGACGCCGCGUGCGGGAUGAAGGCCUUCGGGUUGUAAACCGCUUUCAGCAGGGACGAGGCCGCAAGGUGACGGUACCUGCAGAAGAAGCCCCCGGCUAACUACGUGCCAGCAGCCGCGGUAAU
rnacentral:rRNA from 1 species